rnacentral:rRNA from 1 species
CCUGAGAAACGGCUACCACAUCCAAGGAAGGCAGCAGGCACGCAAAUUACCCAAUCCCAGCCCUGGGAGGUAGUGACGAAAAAUAACAAUGCGGGACUCUUCCGAGUCUGCGUAAUUGGAAUGAGCACACUUUAAAUCCUUUAGCAACAACCAAUUAGAGGGCAAGUCUGGUGCCAGCAGCCGCGGUAAUUCCAGCUCUAAUAGCGUAUAUUAAAGUUGUUGCGGUUAAAAAGCUCGUAGUUCGAGGUCAGUUCCGGACUGGGGUGGGAGGUCACCGCCCGGUGCUUCCCCGUCAGGCUCCGAACAGCUUCCUUUUAUGGAAGCCAAGCCGGUUCUGCCGGGGUGCUCUUUACCGAGUGUCCCGCGCGGCCGGCCAGUUCACCUUGAAUAAAUGAGAGUGCUCAAAGCAGGCUACUCUGGAAUACAAUGCCCGAAUGUUAGCUGCAUGGAAUGAUGGAAGAUGAUCUCGGUUCCAUUUUGUUGGUGGUGGGAGCCCGAGGUAAUGAUAAACAGGGACUGUCGGGGGCAUCCGUACUACGACGCGAGAGGUGAAAUU